rnacentral:rRNA from 1 species
AUUGAACGCUGGCGGAAUGCUUUACACAUGCAAGUCGAACGGUAGAGGGGGCAACCCCUUGAGAGUGGCGAACGGGUGAGUAAUAUAUCGGAACGUGCCCAGUCGUGGGGAUAACGUAGCGAAAGUUACGCUAAUACCGCAUACGAUCUAAGGAUGAAAGCGGGGGACUCGCAAGAGCCUCGCGCGAUUGGAGCGGCCGAUAUCAGAUUAGGUAGUUGGUGGGGGUAAAGGCUCACCAAGCCAACGAUCUGUAGCUGGUCUGAGAGGACGACCAGCCACACUGGAACUGAGACACGGUCCAGACUCCUACGGGAGGCAGCAGUGGGGAAUUUUGGACAAUGGACGCAAGUCUGAUCCAGCCAUUCCGCGUGCAGGAUGAAGGCCCUCGGGUUGUAAACUGCUUUUGUACGGAACGAAAGGUUUCUAUUAAUACUAGGAGCUCAUGACGGUACCGUAAGAAUAAGCACCGGCUAACUACGU